UACGGGAGGCAGCAGUGGGGAAUAUUGCACAAUGGGCGAAAGCCUGAUGCAGCUAUGCCGCGUGUAUGAAGAAGGCCUUAGGGUUGUAAAGUACUUUCAUCGGGGAGGAAAAAACAAAACUAAUAAUUUUAUUUCUUGACGUUACCCGAAAAAGAAGCACCGGCUAACUCCGUGCCAGCAGCCGCGGUAAUACGGAGGGUGCUAGCGUUAAUCAGAAUUACUGGGCGUAAAGAGCACGUAGGUGGUUUUUUUAAAGUCAGAUGUGAAUCCCUGGGCUUAACCUAGGAACUGCAUUUUGAAACUGAAAUACUAGAGUAUCGUAGAGGGAGGUAGAAUUCUAGGUGUAGCGGUGAAAUGCGUAGAUAUCUGGAGGAAUACCUGUGGCGAAAGCGGCCUCCUAAACGAAUACUGACACUGAGGUGCGAAAGCGUGGGGAGCAAACAGGGAUUAGAUACC
rnacentral:rRNA from 1 species